rnacentral:misc_RNA from 1 species
GGAAGUAAAAGUCAUAACAAGGUCUCCGUUGGUGAACCAGCGGAGGAAUCAUUACAGGACUCGCAAGACUCCUACAACCCUGUGAACUUAACUAUAAGCACGUUGCUUCGGCGGGUGUCUCGGAGGGGGUUCUCCCUCCCCGAGACGCUAAACCCGCCGGCAGCCUACUAUACUCUGUCUCUUUGCGUUGGCAUCUCGAGUACAAUCAAACAAGUUAAAACUUUCAACAACGGAUCUCUUGGUUCUG